CCCCGUGCGCAUGGGAGGAGGCAAAGAAAAAAAAGUGUUCUUCAGUGGCGACAAAUAGUGGCAGAUCGAGGGCCCAAAUCGGAAGCGCUUCGUCGAUGGAGGUUCCUGUAAGUCGUUCAAUUGAAUAAAUAAAAUAUGUAUAUGAAAGUUCGAAAAAUAUAUAAAAAUAUGAAAGUUCGCCACGGGAGCGCACCCAAUUAGUGGGUUGAAAAGAGAGGGCAUCAGAAAGUCACCUCUUGAUUCUUUUCCCUACGCCUCUCGUACAUUACACCUUCUCUUUUGGUGGAUCGCUAUGCCAGCAAUUGCUCACAUAAAAUUUUCUUACAUUUCUUUUCUUUUCACUCCUAUUCAAAUCAUCUGUUCUCUCUCAUAUCUAGCCUAAGCUUCUUAUUUAUUUACAGUACUUUACGCAAAUUAUUUAAAAUUAAGUCGUAGCCAAUACUCGGGAAGGGCAAAUGAGAACAUUAAAUUACUGGGGAUCACUAAUUUUAGUCAUUAGAAAUAAAUAAACGUUUAUAAUGUCUGAGUAGAAGAAAUAGUGUUUGAUCUCCUGCAGCAAGCCCCUGUAGGUCUCGCAUAAUAUAAGGGGUCUUGUAACAAAUUAUGUGGUAUCGGGCACAGCAAGACCAAGGUAGGGUGGGCGAACAUCACUCCUCAUGAACAGCUGAGGAAUUCUUUUCGUUGUCCGUUCACCAGUGCAGUUAUUGUCUUUCGUUUUAGGUGUUGUGCUUUCCGUCCGGUUUCAUAUGGCUUAUUGACACGCAUUAAAUGUAGAAUAAUAAUAGGGUAGGCCUCAGCUUAGGAGCAAAUAAACAAGAACACCACACUCGUGGCCGACGAGCCAGUAGCCGGAAAAUUGACAGCGUGCCGCUUCAAGCUGAGAGGACCAUCUCGCCUACAUCGUGGUUGCACGUGACAUUUAUUAUUAUUUUUGGCGCCCAACGUGGGGCCUCACUGUUAGGUGGGAAUUAUUACAAUUUGUACUUAGGGGUGUGGUUCACGAACAAUGACCUAAAACAAACCUUCACUUUUAAAAUUUUCCUUCCAUCGACUGUUCGAUGUCUUUAUUGAAGACAAAGAAACGCAAAUCAUUUCCGCUUUCAUUCAGUUCUCUUACGGAUCUUUGGAACACCGAUAGAAAACUAAGCCCCAGGGUAUGUUUCCGGGCCACGAUUCUAAGGGUUCUGAGUGAGUUUGACUUAUUUCUGUACAAAUAGCCUGAUUGUCGUGAUUAAUAGGAAUACUACUAGAAUAGCUUUAAGAAGCUAUCUGUU